rnacentral:rRNA from 1 species
GCUAGUAAUGGCAGGUCAGCAUACUGCCGUGAAUACGUUCCCGGGCCUUGUACACACCGCCCGUCACACCAUGAGAGUUGGGAAUACCCGAAGCCUGUGAGCUAACAUUAUGAGGCAGCAGUCGAAGGUAGAAUCAAUGAUUGGGGUGAAGUCGUAACAAGGUACC